rnacentral:rRNA from 1 species
UAGAGUUUGAUCAUGGCUCAGGAUGAACGCUAGCGACAGGCUUAACACAUGCAAGUCGAGGGGCAGCGGGGAGGUAGCAAUACUUCCGCCGGCGACCGGCGCACGGGUGAGUAACACGUAUGGAACCUGCCCGUAGCAGGGGGAUAAGCGGAAGAAAUUCCGUCUAAUACCGCGUAAUAACUCCGAGAGGCAUCUCAUGGAGUUUAAAGGGUAAUACCGGCUACGGAUGGCCAUGCGGCGCAUUAGCUAGUUGGCGGGGUAACGGCCCACCAAGGCGACGAUGCGUAGGGGUUCUGAGAGGAAGGUCCCCCACACUGGUACUGAGACACGGACCAGACUCCUACGGGAGGCAGCAGUGAGGAAUAUUGGUCAAUGGGCGCGAGCCUGAACCAGCCAAGUCGCGUGAGGGAAGACGGUCCUAUGGAUUGUAAACCUCUUUUGUCGGGGAGCAAAAGGCGCCACGUGUGGCGUUCCGAGAGUACCCGAAGAAAAAGCAUCGGCUAACUCCGUGCCAGCAGCCGCGGUAAUACGGAGGAUGCGAGCGUUAUCCGGAUUUAUUGGGUUUAAAGGGUGCGCAGGCGGAAGAUCAAGUCAGCGGUAAAAUUGAGAGGCUCAACCUCUUCGAGCCGUUGAAACUGGUUUUCUUGAGUGAGCGAGAAGUAUGCGGAAUGCGUGGUGUAGCGGUGAAAUGCAUAGAUAUCACGCAGAACUCCGAUUGCGAAGGCAGCAUACCGGCGCUCAACUGACGCUCAUGCACGAAAGUGUGGGUAUCGAACAGGAUUAGAUACCCUGGUAGUCCACACAGUAAACGAUGAAUACUAAUUGUUCGGGGAGAAUGAUCCCUGAGUGAUACAGCGAAAGCGUUAAGUAUUCCACCUGGGGAGUACGCCGGCAACGGUGAAACUCA